GUGUCAGCAGCCGCGGUAAAACGUAGGACACGAGCGUUAUCCGGAGUUACUGGGCGUAAAGGGCGUUUAGGCGGGUGACUAAGUUCGCUAUGAAAGCGCCAGGCUAAACCUGGCGAGGCUGGCGGAUACUGGUCAUCUGGAGUAAGAGAGAGGGAGGUAGAAUUCCGCGUGUAGUGGUGAAAUGCGUAGAGAUGCGGAGGAAUACCAGUGGCGAAGGCGGCCUCCUGGCUCUUAACUGACGCUGAAGCGCGAAAGCAUGGGGAGCGAACGGGAUUAGAAACCCCUGUAGUCC
rnacentral:rRNA from 1 species